CCUACGGGAGGCAGCAGUGAGGCAUAUUGGUCAAUGGACGCGAGUCUGAACCAGCCAAGUAGCGUGAAGGAUGACUGCCCUAUGGGUUGUAAACUUCUUUUAUAUGGGAAUACCAUGUUCCACGUGUUUGUUUUUGUAUGUACCAUAUGAAUAAGGCUCGGCUAACUCCGUGCCAGCAGCCGCUGUAAUACGGAGGAUCCGAGCGUUAUCCGGAUUUAUUGGGUUUAAAGGGUGCGUAGGUGGAUUGUUAAGUCAGUUGUGAAAGUUUGCGGCUCAACCGUAAAAUUGCAGUUGAUACUGGCAGUCUUGAGUACAGUAGAGGUGGGCGGAAGUCGUGGUGUAGCGGUGAAAUGCUUAGAGAUCACGAAGAACUCCGAUUGCGAAGGCAGUUCACUGGACUGCAACUGACACUGAGGCUCGAAAGUGUGGGUAUCAAACAGGAUUAGAUACCCGGGUAGUC
rnacentral:rRNA from 1 species